CCCCCUGCAUCCGGCCGACCGAAUACAAUGUACCUGCUCUACAACUACUUCGUGAAGUUCCUCUAUAGCCGUGAUAGACCUGGAGCUACCGGUAGGUGUUAAUUGCCUUGAUGAGCCUCACUUGGGACCACCAUCACACCCUCCACCUGUGCUGCAGGAGCUCUAUUUAAGCUCAGCCCCAGGCUUCUGGGGCUCUUUUGAGUUCCAGUGUUGUUGUGCCUGCAUCUUGUCUUGCCUCCUGGAUGGACUGUAGAUCUCUGCUCCAGUUUGAGAAGGAUUAAAUAAACUCAACAAAUGGACACUGACUAGUCCACCUUUACUGGAGGCAGCUGUCUUUCCGCAGUUGAACUGUUGCAUUGCUAUGGAUGCUCAGCAUCUCUGCCUGAUUGCAUCCAGACAUCCAGAAUGUUGCAGCACAUCUCCCGUGACAUUGGUCCCUUUGGAGGGGCAGAGCGUUGAGUGGGGGGGAAUCAUUUUGGGGAGGCUGUUGUCUUGUCCAGCCUCAUUCCUAAAGCACUGUAUGAGUUUGUCUUUCUUCCCUUGUAACAUCAUCUCAUGCAGAGUGAAUCACAUGGAGAACUGAGCAUCUGGCUGGAGGAGGAAAGUUCUGUAUGGGGAAAGCCAAUGCAUGGGCUCAGCCUUUUCAACCAUCAGCUUGGGUGAUGACUCACAAGGCAGAAAGCCAUAGGAAGCCAAGAUUCAUCCAUCAUCCUGGCUGCCUAAUGAUCUGCUUAGUUACUCAUUACUUGCUGGCUAAGCUAGCCUGACUCCAUCCAGCAGUGCCAACCAUAGGACGCUUGCUGGGAUCUCAAAGUCAAGAGGUUUUUUUUUUGCUUUUGUUUGGAUUUACCUGAUAAGAACUGGCAUGGGCUGGAUAAUCAUGAUUUAGUCCAGCAGCACUGUAUCACUCUUUCUCAUUCAUUAAAUGUAUGAAAUACGUCUCAUCCGUUAUAUAUGUUUGGUGAGGUGUUGGAAC
ensembl:lncRNA